UACGAAGGGGGCUAGCGUUGUUCGGAAUUACUGGGCGUAAAGCGCACGUAGGCGGAUAUUUAAGUCAGGGGUGAAAUCCCAGAGCUCAACUCUGGAACUGCCUUUGAUACUGGGUAUCUUGAGUAUGGAAGAGGUAAGUGGAAUUGCGAGUGUAGAGGUGAAAUUCGUAGAUAUUGGGAAGAACACCGGUGGCGAAGGCGGCUCACUGGCUCAUUUCUGACGCUCAGGCGCGACAGCGUGGGGAUCAAACAGG
rnacentral:rRNA from 1 species